GACGACUCCGAGCGGAUCGACGUUGACCCGCACCGCCUCGUCCCGUGAGGCGGCCCGAACCGCCGCGGAGCGGCCGCUGCCCUCGGGGGAGCCGUGCGGGGAAGCGGGGCGGCGCUGAGCUUCGGGAGCGAGGAGGAGGAGCGGGAAGGAUGGCAUCGUUGCAGGAUGUGCCCCGUGCCCACCAGAGGGAGUAUGA